AGCUGGUGUCUAGUCUCCUAGCAAACCCAGCUAAUUCUUCAGAGAUCUGCUAACAUCAGUCUGAACAUGACUGAGGUAAGCUGAAGAUUGACUUUCCAGUUGUUGUCUAUUAUACCUCUAACAAGAGGGGGAUACAAGGCUGCUGUGUUGCUACAGAAAUCCUGAAACUGAAGACAAGAGGAUAGAUUCUUUUUGACUUGGUGAAUCAUUGGCAGUAGAAACAUUACAAGAGUUCAAAGGGGAGAAAAUGUUUAGGCACCUCUGGUGGACAUCAGCUGGAGGAGGUUGCCCAGGACUAUGUUCAGGCAGCUCUUGAAGAUCUUCAGGGAAAGAGACUGCAUAGCCUGUGCCAGCACUCUGUCACCCAUACAGCGAAGAAGUGCUUCCUGAUGUUCGGAGGAGACGGCCUGUGUUCCAGUUUGUGUCCAUUACCUUGUGCUCUGUCACUGGGCUCCCCUGGAAGUAGCCUGACUCCAUCAUCUUACUACUCUCCCUUAAGGAUGAGACAAUGGUUUUGCUCAUUGACACUGCUGGACAGUUAAAUGCCAUGUUGUUCUGAACUUGUGAGAGAAAUUCUUCCUGUGGUUGUGCUCAGAAAUUUCAUAGUUGUGUUUCCUUAGCAAACCAUCUGGCUGAUGGUUGGUUUCAUUGUUUGUCUGUCUGGUGUGCCAACUAAGAAACAAAAUUUUCCCCAAACUUGCUGCAAAUUAAAAUAUCCUGGUGAGCCUGAUUUCUGAUCAGGUUUUGACAGGCAGAAACAAUCUAUCUGAAACAGAUGUUUCCUUUUCUGCAGCCACUAUUAUUAUUUCUGAUUACUUGCAUCAGCUCAGACGACUGAUAGUUUCUCAACAACUUACAGAAUGAAUACUUUUUUAAAAUGUAUGCCUCUUCUCAAUGAAUGAUAUGUCCAUAGACAAGAACGUAGUAAUAAAAUUGUAUUGCAAUAGAAGCAGACAAUUCUUAAAUGAUGACCGCAUUAUCCAAUUUUAGAUUUGGAACAUGGAGCAUAUGGUUUUUCCUCCCCUUUUCUAAAAAGAAGUGUAAUGAAACGCAUUUUUACUGGGGUUAGUGUACUAAACCUAUCCUCUACCAUUGCAUGCGAUUAUCCUCAAUGUUCUAGUAUCCAGCAAAAAUCAACCUGCAGAUGAUGAACAAGGUAAAGCUGAAGCCAGGUUUGGCUAAGAGCCUACCCAGCUGCUCUCACUCCCUUCUCUACAGGGUGGGGGAGAAAACAGGGUGGAAAAGCUGAGGCAUCGAGUGAAGCAUAGGGAGAUUGCCUACCUGGUACAUCUAGGGGCAGAACAGACUGAAAUUGGGAAAGUUCAUUUGAUCUAUUGUUGAGUACCCCAGAUCAUUUUUAUUCCUUUCUCCUGUGUUUGCAUUUAUAGAAAAUGUAUCUGUGCUCUUGUUGAUUUGUUUAAGUGCUGUAAACUUAAAUAAAUACAUGUGCUGAGAAGAGACAGGGAUCUUUUUACAGUUAUAUGAGGAUUUCUGAAUCAAGUUUAUUAAGAGCGACUGAUUCCACAAUGCUUUACCCAAAUUAUAGAGAGGGUAAUAUCACAAGGCUUAGCCACCUCAUCUGAAAUGAUGAAAUAGUUCUCAUCAUAAAAAGC